GGAGAGGUACCGAAGCGGCCAACCGGGGCAGACUGUAAAUCUGCUGGCUUAUGCCUACGGAGGUUCGAAUCCUCCCCUCUCCACCA
rnacentral:tRNA from 2 species